GCCCGCUUGGCUUAGUGGUAAAGCGUAUCACUAGUAAUGAUAAGAUCGUCAGUUCGAUUCUGACAGUGGGCA
rnacentral:tRNA from 2 species